CUUGUAGAGAUAUGAAUAUUAUGACAUGUUGUUGAAUUGUUUUGUAGGGAGUUUGGAUGGGAAUGUUGAUUGGCACAUUUGUUCAAACUAUUGCACUAGUUAUGAUCACUUCCAAAACUGAUUGGGAUGAACAGGUAAGACUCACUCAACAACGAGUUAAAGGAUGGGCAAUAGAAGAUGACAAUAAUGUUACCUCACAAGGAGCUUAACACAACAAAUGGCCUAAAUUGCAAUAAUUUGUCAAAUUGUUUUAAUUAUUAUAAAUUAUCAAAUAUCAUUUCAGUAUUUAGCUCCCAUAUUUGAAAAGUUUGCUAGUUCGAUUGUUUUAUUUAAGUGCUUAUUUUUAAAUUUUUCUAAUAGUCGCUUGAAUAAAUAAUUAGCACUUAUUAGUUGAAUUUAGUCAUGAAUAGUAACCUCUUUAUUUUAUUUUACGAUUUCUAA